CACAAUUCGAGACAUCCACUAGGAGGAAGAUCACGAGCUUCUCUUCUUCCUAGCGGUUUGGGCCUUAUUUUUAAGGCACUGCAUGCCCAGUGACCGUAUAGGCCACUUGCUGUUUCAGCGGGCAGCACCAAAGACGUCGACGUCUUGUCGGCGACCUUCAUCAAGGUUAGCUGGCCAUCCAAAACAUAUAAAAGAAUGUCACCCACAAGACCCAUGAAGGGCACACACUCCUCAUAAUCCGUCCCCUUCCACGCGGACCCACUUUAUCACCGAACGCUCGGACAGCGCUUCGGCGGACAUCCUUCUAAGGAAAGCGUUGGGAGCUUAUCGGCGACAAGGGAGAAGUCCGAGAGGGAGAGAAAGAGGCGUCGUUGAGGAAGGAGGCAGAGCGGGGACGCCGUUGACAUCAGCUGCAAGAGACAGGAGUCAAUACAUGGGCAACCUAGUCAACAGCAAGGGGAAUAGGAAGGAAUAGAGGAAAUAUCGUACCUGUUCUCUGGGAUUGCUGAUGUUCCUGGGCUUCAGCCAAGAACCCGUCUAUCAGCUCUUGGUCACUCCGAGUCCUCCUAGGACGAGGAUGGGAGGGGACAUCAAGAUGGGUUUGAGAGUGUGAGACUCCCCCACAGAAUAAGGUACAAAGCCGUUUACACCUCUUUAACCACCACUUCUCUGCCCACCGCUUGAUGAAGACGCAAGACGAGGGCUGGAUGAUGUUGGUAAGGCAGGGCGAAUGCUGGAUCUGGUUGGGCGGGACAUUGUAGAUAGAAUGACUAGAAAUAGAAAGUAAGGUUGUGAAAGACGUAGCGAGAUUUUGUGUUGAACUUUCUGGAAUCACACUAUGAAGCCAGGACUAUGGACUUAUAUAAGAACUGCAUGCACUCACCGAAUUUUUUA
rnacentral:sRNA from 1 species